GUGGGAGCGAGCUUGCUCGCGAUGGCGUUGUGUCAGUCAACAUAAACUUUGAUUGUUACAUCGCAAUCGCGAGCAAGCUCGCUCCCAC
rnacentral:misc_RNA from 1 species